CAAGCGAAAGCGUUAAGUAUUCCACCUGGGGAGUACGCCGGCAACGGUGAAACUCAAAGGAAUUGACGGGGGCCCGCACAAGCGGAGGAACAUGUGGUUUAAUUCGAUGAUACGCGAGGAACCUUACCCGGGCUUAAAUUGCAGAUGAAUUACGGUGAAAGCCGUAAGCCGCAAGGCAUCUGUGAAGGUGCUGCAUGGUUGUCGUCAGCUCGUGCCGUGAGGUGUCGGCUUAAGUGCCAUAACGAGCGCAACCCUUGUUGUCAGUUACUAACAGGUUCCGCUGAGGACUCUGACAAGACUGCCAUCGUAAGAUGUGAGGAAGGUGGGGAUGACGUCAAAUCAGCACGGCCCUUACGUCCGGGGCUACACACGUGUUACAAUGGGGGGUACAGAGGGCCGCUACCACGCGAGUGGAUGCCAAUCCCCAAAACCUCUCUCAGUUCGGACUGGAGUCUGCAACCCGACUCCACGAAGCUGGAUUCGCUAGUAAUCGCGCAUCAGCCACGGCGCGGUGAAUACGUUCCCGGGCCUUGUACUCACCGCCCGUC
rnacentral:rRNA from 1 species